CGGUUUUAAUUGGAUUCAACGCCGGAAUCUUACCGGGACCGACAGCAAUAUGAAGGCCAGGCUGAAGACUUUGCCGGAUUAGCUGAGAGGUGGUGCAUGGCCGUCGUCAGUUCGUACUGUGAAGCAUCCUGUUAAGUCAGGCAACGAGCGAGACCCACGCCCACAGUUGCCAGCGUACUCUCCGGAGUGACGGGUACACUGUGGGGACCGCCGCUGCUAAAGCGGAGGAAGGAAUGGGCAACGGUAGGUCAGUAUGCCCCGAAUAUCCCGGGCUACACGCGAGCUACAAUGGUUGGUACAAUGGGUAUCUACCCCGAAAGGGGACGGAAAUCUCCUAAAACCAAUCUUAGUUCGGAUUGAGGGCUGCAACUCGCCCUCAUGAAGCUGGAAUCCGUAGUAAUCGCGUUUCAACAGAACGCGGUGAAUACGUCCCUGCUCCUU
rnacentral:rRNA from 1 species